GCGAACGUAGUUCAGCGGUAGAACACUACCUUGCCAUGGUAGGGGUCGCGGGUUCGAUUCCCGUCGUUCGCU
rfam:Weissella oryzae SG25 DNA, scaffold: sequence14.